GAGAUAGCUAGCUUGCACUGCAUUCCUCAUCAAUAAAGAUUGAACUGCGUUCCCAGCUCAGCCAUGAGUCCAUGGUCGUCUCUCUCCUGCCUGAGAAACUAGCUUGGCACCUGGAUUUUAGGCUGGAGGUGGGGAGGUGACCUGUGGGUGGAGGCCUGUGUGUCAGACAGCGCCUGUCUUGUGAAGCCACUUGGUUGGAGAAAAGCGACAUCUCUGCUCUAGAGCCCAGGGAAGCAUCUAUCUGAAAGGGCUGAGAUCCUGUGUGUCUCGGAUUCAACAUACGAGUCCAGGGUGAACCGUCUCAAGACAGUCGUGCUUCUGAAUUGCUGCAGAUGUUGAAAAGGUGUUUGCAGAAUCCCAUCCCAUCCAGCUGCUGUUCGUCUCCUGUCACUCAAUGCCCUUCCCAUGGAGGCCAAAUCUCCAAACGGCGACCCCUUAGUCCCUGAGCACUGACAGUGAACCCCCUGGUCUGAAAGAAUGAGCACUCUAGAAUCUGUUUGGGAUACUUUGACUACAAAGAAUCAAAGAAAUGGGGCCAAAAACCAUACCUCCAACAUGGACAGAAUGUUCACCACAGAAGAGAUGCAAAAGGCAGAGAAACACAUGAAAAAAUGCUCUAAGUCUCUGAUUGUCAGAGAAAUGCAAAUAG